CGCGGUGAAUACGUUCCCGGGCCUUGUACGCACCGCCCGUCAAGCCAUGGAAGUUGGGGGUACCCAAAGUCGCCUUUAAUAAGCGCCUAAGGUAAAACCAAUGACUGGGGCUAAGUCGUAACAAGGUACCC
rnacentral:rRNA from 1 species